rnacentral:rRNA from 1 species
CCAGAGAACUUAGCAGAGAUGCUUUGGUGCCUUCGGGAACUCUGAGACAGGUGCUGCAUGGCUGUCGUCAGCUCGUGUUGUGAAAUGUUGGGUUAAGUCCCGCAACGAGCGCAACCCUUAUCCUUUGUUGCCAGCGGCUCGGCCGGGAAACUCAAAGGAGACUGCCGGUGAUAAACCGGAGGAAGGUGGGGAUGACGUCAAGUCAUCAUGGCCCUUACGGCCAGGGCUACACACGUGCUACAAUGGCGCAUACAAAGAGAAGCGACCUCGCGAGAGCAAGCGGACCUCACAAAGUGCGUCGUAGUCCGGAUUGGAGUCUGCAACUCGACUCCAUGAAGUCGGAAUCGCUAGUAAUCGUAGAUCAGAAUGCUACGGUGAAUACGUUCCCGGGCCUUGUACACACCGCCCGUCACACCAUGGGAGUGGGUUGCAAAAGAAGUAGGUAGCUUAACCUUCGGGAGGGCGCUUACCACUUUGUGAUUCAUGACUGGGGUGAAGUCGUAACAAGGUAGGCGUAGCGAG